GCUGGCGGCGUGCUUAACACAUGCAAGUCGUACGAGAACUCUUCUGCUUGCAGAAGAUAGUAAAGUGGCGCACGGGUGAGUAACGCGUGGGUAAUCUACCUCCGAAUCUGGGAUAACCCGCCGAAAGGCGAGCUAAUACCGGAUAAUAUCUUUAAACUUCGGUUUUUAAGAUCAAAGGUGGUCUCUACAUGUAAGCUACUGUUUGGAGAUGAGCCCGCGUACCAUUAGCUUGUUGGUAGGGUAAUGG
rnacentral:rRNA from 1 species